rnacentral:rRNA from 1 species
AGAGUUUGAUCUUGGCUCAGGACGAACGCUGGCGGCGUGCUUAACACAUGCAAGUCGAACGAUGAAGCCUAGCUUGCUAGGUGGAUUAGUGGCGAACGGGUGAGUAAUACGUGAGUGACCUACCUUUGACUCUGGGAUAAGCCUGGGAAACUGGGUCUAAUACCGGAUACGACCAAUCUCCGCAUGGGGUGUUGGUGGAAAGCGUUAUGGAGUGGUUUUAGAUGGGCUCACGGCCUAUCAGCUUGUUGGUGAGGUAAUGGCUUACCAAGGCGACGACGGGUAGCCGGCCUGAGAGGGUGACCGGCCACUCUGGGACUGAGACACGGCCCAGACUCCUACGGGAGGCAGCAGUGGGGGAAUAUUGCACAAUGGGCGCAAACCUGAUGCAGCGACGCCGCGUGAGGGAUGACGGCCUUCGGGUUGUAAACCUCUGUUAGCAUCGAAGAAGCGAAAGUGACGGUAGGUGCAGAGAAAGCGCCGGCUAACUACGUGCCAGCAGCCGCGGUAAUACGUAGGGCGCGAGCGUUGUCCGGAAUUAUUGGGCGUAAAGAGCUUGUAGGCGGUUGGUCGCGUCUGCUGUGAAAGGCUGGGGCUUAACCCUGGUUUUGCAGUGGGUACGGGCUAACUAGAGUGCAGUAGGGGAGACUGGAAUUCCUGGUGUAGCGGUGGAAUGCGCAGAUAUCAGGAGGAACACCGAUGGCGAAGGCAGGUCUCUGGGCUGUAACUGACGCUGAGAAGCGAAAGCAUGGAGAGCGAACAGAAUUAGAUACCCUGGUAGUCCAUGCCGUAAACGUUGCCCAAAAGGUGUGGGGGACAUUCCACGUUUUCCGCGCCGUAGCUAACGCAUUAAGUGCCCCGCCUGGGGAGUACGGCCGCAAGGCUAAAACUCAAAGAAAUAGACGGGGGCCCGCACAAGCGGCGGAGCAUGCGGAUUAAUUCGAUGCAACGCGAAGAACCUUACCAAGGCUUGACAUAUACUGGACUGCGUCAGAGAUGGCGUUUCCCUUCGGGGCUGGUAUACAGGUGGUGCAUGGUUGUCGUCAGCUCGUGUCGUGAGAUGUUGGGUUAAGUCCCGCAACGAGCGCAACCCUCGUUCUAUGUUGCCAGCACGUGAUGGUGGGGACUCAUAGGAGACUGCCGGGGUCAACUCGGAGGAAGGUGGGGAUGACGUCAAAUCAUCAUGCCCCUUAUGUCUUGGGCUUCACGCAUGCUACAAUGGCCGGUACAGAGGGUUGCGAUACUGUGAGGUGGAGCUAAUCCCUAAAAGCCGGUCUCAGUUCGGAUUGGGGUCUGCAACUCGACCCCAUGAAGUCGGAGUCGCUAGUAAUCGCAGAUCAGCAACGCUGCGGUGAAUAAGUUCCCGGGCCUU